rnacentral:rRNA from 1 species
GAUGAACGCUGGCGGCGUGCCUAAUACAUGCAAGUCGAGCGGAAAGACCCGGAGCUUGCUGCGCUGACGUUAGGCGCAGGGGGGUGAGACACGCGUGGAUCCCCCACCUAUAUUUGUGGUAACACUACGAGAAAGCGGCUCUUAUAGCAUAUGAUAUCUUGCACCGCAUUGGUGGUUGGUGAAAGUCGGCUUUGGUGUCUCUUCUCGAUGGAUAUGCGCUGCAUGAGCUAGUUGGGAAGGUAACGGGUUAUCAAGGGUAGGAUGCGUAGCCGACCUGAGAGGGUGAUCGGCCACACUGGAACUGAGACACGGUCCAGACUCCUACGGGAGGCAGCAGUAGGGAACCUUCCGCAAUGGGCGAAAGCCUGACGGAGCAACGCCACGUGAGUGAUGAAGGUCUUGGGAUCGUAAAGCUCUGUUAUUAGGGAAGAACAAAUGUGUAAGUAACUAUGCACGUCUUGACGGUACCUAAUCAGAAAGCCACGGCUAACUACGUG